GGGCCUGCGGAGGGAUCAUUACCGAGUUUACAACUCCC
rnacentral:rRNA from 1 species